UCCUCGCAUCAUGCAGUAAUAGAGGCGUGGUGUUCCCCGCCACCUCAUAGCUUAACAUCAACUUCCAUCCCCACAUCUUCCCUAAAUUCUUUAUCCAGAUGACCUGCAGUGUUUCCUAACACUCCUGUUGGAUUUUUGAUGAAUUGGAGGGGGGGGGGGGUGUUCUGGCGCGGUGUUUUAUCACUGCCACCUUAGCUCCCCCAUUGAAUGAUAAUGCUAAUAUUAUAGCCUAAGAAAUCAAUCUUGGAAAACACGUUGGGUCACGGAGAUGUCGGGUGUGCGAGUUAGAGGAAGAGGCAGGAGACCACUUGUUCGUUUCAUGUGGCUUUGUACAAGCAGUUUGGGACCAGGUUUCGACAUGGUGUAGGCUGCCUCCAGUGUUCGCUUUCGAGGCUAGGGACCUCCUGAACUUACAUCGAUAUUUGAGGGACUCGCGCAAAUGGAAGAAAAUACUGCAGCUAAUCACGCACACGGCUAUCGGGUGUAUUUGGAAAUAUAGAAAUGACUUGAUUUUCAAUAAAAAAAAACAAAUAAAUCUCGCUAGGAUGCUGGAAGAGAUGGAAUUGUCCAGCUUUUUUUGGUCUCGGAGUCUAGCAAAGGCGACUGAACUUACGUGAGAUCAAUGGCGAGAGUUUCAGUUACGUUGUAUUGGUGUGUAAGGUUUUGUAGCAUGUGUUUGGUGUAUGCACUGUUAUGUUUUUGCUAAUGAUUUAUUGCCAUAAACUUGAUGAAA